rnacentral:rRNA from 1 species
UACGUAGGAUGCAAGCGUUAUCCGGAAUUACUGGGCGUAAAGCGUGUGUAGGUGGCGCGUUAAGUUAAAUGUUAAAUCUCCAGGCUCAACUUGGGGGCUGCAUUUAAUACUGGCGUGCUUGAGGAUGGGAGAGGUAGGUAGAAUUAGCGGUGUAGUGGUGAAAUACGUAGAUAUCGCUAGGAAUACCAAUGGCGAAGGCAGCCUACUGGCCCACUUCCUGACACUGAGACACGAAAGCGUGGGGAGCGAACAGGAUUAGAUACCCUGGUAGUCCACGCCGUAAACGAUGAUCACUAGCUGUUAGAGGAUCGACCCCUUUAGUAGCGAAGCUAACGCGUUAAGUGAUCCGCCUGGGGAGUACGGUCGCAAGAUUAAA